AUCUGGCUGACGAGUCCCGAAUAGGACGAAACGCGCGUCCUGGAU
rnacentral:hammerhead_ribozyme from 1 species